rnacentral:misc_RNA from 1 species
UUGGAUUUGUGUCUCAAGUGAAAAUAAUAAAAGUUCAACGUAUAUUGAAGGCAACUAGUUUCUGAGUUCAACUAAAAUUUACCCAAUUAUUGUUGCUCAUAUCAAUAGCAUUUAAGUAGACUUGUGAAUUAUUGAGAAUUUUGGUUGCUGGAUUUGUCUGUUUGUGGAUAGGAAUAUUGGGCUUCCAUUACAGGAGAUAAUUUUUUUUCACAUCCAUAAUGCUGAUUGGAAUUUCUGUUGAGAAUUUUAAAUGUAACAGGAAAAUGAAACAAUAAGCCUGUUACGUCUUGGUUUGAAGACUUCUGAUAACUGUUUGGUACAAAUUCACAUUCCCUGUUCCAAUUGGUUCUUGUCUUGGCAGGUUGAUUAUUUUAUUGAUUGUCAU